rnacentral:rRNA from 1 species
UACGUAGGGGGCGAGCGUUGUCCGGAUUUAUUGGGCGUAAAGCGCGGGCAGGCGGCCCGGUAAGUCGGCCGUGAAAGCGCCGGGCUCAACUCGGCGAGGACGGGCGAGACUGCAGGGCUGGAGCAAGGCAGAGGGCGGUGGAAUUCCGGGUGUAGUGGUGGAAUGCGUAGAGCUCCGGAGGAACACCAGUGGCGAAGGCGGCCGCCUGGGCCUUUGCUGACGCUGAGCCGCGAAAGCGUGGGGAGCGAGCAGG